UAACACAUGCAAGUCGAGGGGCAGCAUGGUCUUAGCUUGCUAAGGCCGAUGGCGACCGGCGCACGGGUGAGUAACACGUAUCCAACCUGCCGUCUACUCUUGGACAGCCUUCUGAAAGGAAGAUUAAUACAAGAUGGCAUCAUGAGUCCACAUGUUCACAUGAUUAAAGGUAUUCCGGUAGACGAUGGGGAUGCGUUCCAUUAGAUAGUAGGCGGGGUAACGGCCCACCUAGUCUUCGAUGGAUAGGGGUUCUGAGAGGAAGGUCCCCCACAUUGGAACUGAGACACGGUCCAAACUCCUACGGGAGGCAGCAGUGAGGAAUAUUGGUCAAUGGGCGAGAGCCUGAACCAGCCAAGUAGCGUGAAGGAUGACUGCCCUAUGGGUUGUAAACUUCUUUUAUAAAGGAAUAAAGUCGGGUAUGUAUACCCGUUUGCAUGUACUUUAUGAAUAAGGAUCGGCUAACUCCGUGCCAGCAGCCGCGGUAAUACGGAGGAUCCGAGCGUUAUCCGGAUUUAUUGGGUUUAAAGGGAGCGUAGAUGGAUGUUUAAGUCAGUUGUGAAAGUUUGCGGCUCAACCGUAAAAUUGCAGUUGAUACUGGAUAUCUUGAGUGCAGUUGAGGCAGGCGGAAUUCGUGGUGUAGCGGUGAAAUGCUUAGAUAUCACGAAGAACUCCGAUUGCGAAGGCAGCCUGCUAAGCUGCAACUGACAUUGAGGCUCGAAAGUGUGG
rnacentral:rRNA from 1 species